rnacentral:rRNA from 1 species
UGGGGAAUAUUGGACAAUGGGCGCAAGCCUGAUCCAGCCAUGCCGCGUGAGUGAUGAAGGCCCUAGGGUUGUAAAGCUCUUUCACCGGUGAAGAUAAUGACGGUAACCGGAGAAGAAGCCCCGGCUAACUUCGUGCCAGCAGCCGCGGUAAUACGAAGGGGGCUAGCGUUGUUCGGAUUUACUGGGCGUAAAGCGCACGUAGGCGGACUUUUAAGUCAGGGGUGAAAUCCCGGGGCUCAACCCCGGAACUGCCUUUGAUACUGGAAGUCUUGAGUAUGGUGGGGGUGAGUGGAAUUCCGAGUGUAGAGGUGAAAUUCGUAGAUAUUCGGAGGAAAAACAGGGGCGAAGGCGGCUCACUGGACCAUUACUGACGCUGAGGUGCGAAAGCGGGGGGAGCAAACAGG